ensembl:lncRNA
CAGGUGGGAUGGAGAGAGUGCUUCAGUCUACUGGGAGCAGCUGAGGCUUUGUGGGAUAGACCAGGUUUCAGCCUGACGUAAUGCUGCGAAGGGGUGGGGAGAGUCACGGUGAUGAGCUGUAAUGCUGCAACUGGAUUAUAGAGUGGGGGAGUCUCUGAAGAGAAGAAAAAGUUGCAAGAAAGCAGCAGCACCUGGGCAGAGUUUGCUAAAAGUCUGUCUUCUUCUGCAGUGUCUUGAAUGCUGUUGCUGUGUGGCUUUUCCAAGGACCUGGCAGUUUUCUGGAGCACUGGAGGAUUCCACAGGAGCUGCCCCCAGAUGCCUUCUGCAUUGCCUGGACCUGGUGCUUCCAGCUGUCAGCUCUGGAGCUGAUAUAGCAGCCCUGUGUUUGAGCAGCUGCAGCCCCGGGAAAGUUGUCUUACAGAGUGAAAGGACACCCAGGCUUCUGGCAGAACUGCCAGGUGGCCUCACAGGAGCUACUGUGGGAAUGUUUGGUAACAGAAUGAGGACACAAGCAAUAGCAGAAAAGGAAAGAUCACGUCAUCUUUGGCAUUCUUGGUCCUUGCUUCUAUUCCAGGGAGACCAAAGUUUAGGACACAAUCACAGGAUGAGUUCAGAGUGUUCAUUUCAUCAAGCCAUGAUAAUUGACAGGGUUGAUAAACUAAUACCUACGUGGACAUAGGACAUCAGUUCUGGGAACAGCUGUUUGUGACUCCUGUUUUCCUGGAAGGGCUUUCACCAGAUAUGCUGCAUUUCAAGAGUGCCUUCAGGCUCUGACAGAUGUGCCUGGCCGACCUGCGGUGGCGUCCCCCUGGUGCCUGCUGGGGCAGGGGUGGGAAGGAGCUGGCAGAGGGCAAGCAGAGCAGUCUGGCCACGCAUCUCCUGCUGCCGCUCUGGCUUUUCAGGGUGGUAGGAGCAGCUAGUGGAGGGGAAGCCACGAGGCAUAUGACUGCCUCUGGUUGUUUCCCUCUCUUUUUGCUCUCCUCAGUGCCUGGAGUCAGAAACUCAAAUGGGAAUGUUUUUCUGUUUUAAGAAGUACAUGUAUGUUUGUUUUCUGUGCUCUUCUGCUGUCUGCAGCUGGGCUUCUGGCACGUAUGUAAAGAUAGCAUAAAUCUAAGAGCUGAUCACAUGUAAUGAUUAUUAUCCGGUGCCACUUCUGAGGUAUCCUGGAAGCAUAUCCCAUCACACAGUCAUCUUUUUCCUGUGCUUCAGUGUUAUUAGCAGAGAUAGCCCAUGUUAUCUAGGUUACAUGUAUCAAAACAUACCAAGUUAAAACUAGGCUUUUAAACUAGUUUUAGCAGAACCAAUUUUACAUUCCCUGUAACUGGCUUCUUUUAUACCACGUGUCUUACCACAUGUAAGCCAUGUGUCUUACUGACAGUGACACGAUGAAAUGCAUGUAACCUUUUUUUCAACAAUGUCAACAGAUAAAUGAUUAAGGUAAAUACAGCCAAGCUGUUACAUGAAGAUUUUCAUGACAACUGCAUUUCUUGUACUUUGUAUCAAUAAAAACUAGUAUUCAUAACUUAGUCUAUUAAAA